UUACUAACGUUAGCAUCCACAGACCCUUCGUUGCUCGCGUAGAUUUCCAUGUUGUCUCACCAGUUACGUUACAGGUAGAGUCAGCACAGAUCGGCAGAACACUAGAAAGAAUGAGGGAUUGUGAGCGAUUCAGGAAUGUCUCAGGGCUUGCCUCAUGUUACCCGGAAGGUGUCGCCUGAGAUAGCAGAAUGGAAAUCCAGCUGUUUUCAUUGUUUUGAUGGACCUCUGCACCUAUGAUUGCCAGUAAAAGCUUUGUCAUCUAUGGA